rnacentral:rRNA from 1 species
GGACUACUCGGGUUUCUAAUCCUGUUUGCUCCCCACGCUUUCGCACAUCAGCGUCAGUACCGGGCCAGUGAGCCGCCUUCGCCACUGGUGUUCUUCCGAAUAUCUACGAAUUUCACCUCUACACUCGGAGUUCCACUCACCUCUCCCGGACUCGAGAUCGCCAGUAUCGGAGGCAGUUCUGGAGUUGAGCUCCAGGAUUUCACCCCCGACUUAACGAUCCGCCUACGUGCGCUUUACGCCCAGUAAUUCCGAGCAACGCUAGCCCCCUUCGUAUUACCGCGGCGGCUGGCAC